rnacentral:lncRNA from 12 species
GACAAUUAUAAGGGCUCCCUGAGGAUGACAAUAGCCUCCAGUACGUGGGCCUCUGUGAAGGAAGAGCUUCUCCCAGCCUCAGAGGUGCCAGAGGACAGUACCCUAAGCCUACAACAGUCACUGCUAACCUUGUACAACUAUCAACAGAAACAGGGGAGGAGAGCAACGAAUACCUGUGGCUUGGGCUCCAAAGUCUAGAAGAGGAGCCAAGGAAACAACUGAGAUGGACAGAGCGCCCUCACAAGAUCCCAUUGUCUUCAGACACUGCUGGCCCAGGGCCUCCACCUCAGGGCCUCCUGCCUCCCCAGCAUUUCCGGGGGGAACGGAGGCUCCCCAUCACCAGAAACCCAUGUUGUGCUUUGCUCUCCCGGCCUGAGGGUCAGGCUGCCAGGCCACCAGGCAGUGCCAGGCACAAGGCUGGCGGCACCUAGUCAACUCGAGAAGCUGCUGGUGAGCAGGGUGAGUGCCUGGGGCUGCUGGCGUUGGUGCUGGCCGAUGCCCUUGCUGGGCAAGUCUGAGGGGGGAGGCAGGGGCGGGUGGGGGCGUGUCACCAAGGAAGUGGGUGUUGGGGUGCUGAGCAAGGGAGCAGAGGAAGGUCAGAGUGGAGGUUUUCACUGAUCCGAGUGGGCGGGAGUAAAGAGAAUUCAUAAAAAGUUUCUUUCUUCUUUAAUGGUCUUUUUUCCCUAUCCGAGGGCCCGGGCGCGGGAGGUGAGGGAAGAGGGGAGGGGGCAGGGCAGGCCCUCCACAAGUGACACUUAAUUCCCGGUCUGGACUGGGCCGGCGUUUGAAAGCAGCUAAAUUAGCAAAACAGAAGUCAACUGUCGAUUGCUUCAUUGGAGGAUUAAGUGUGAUAAAUGGGGGGU